UACGUAGGGUGCAAGCGUUAAUCGGAAUUACUGGGCGUAAGGCGUGCGCAGGCGGUUAUGCAAGACAGAUGUGAAAUCCCCGGGCUCAACCUGGGAAUUGCGCUUGUGACUGGCGUGCUGGAGUGUGGCAGAGGGAGGUGGAAUUCCACGUGUAGCAGUGAAAUGCGUAGAGAUGUGGAGGAACACCGAUGGCGAAGGCAGCCUCCUGGGCCAGCACUGACGCUCAUGCACGAAAGCGUGGGGAGCAAACAGG
rnacentral:rRNA from 1 species